rfam:Trachymyrmex zeteki contig6936, whole genome shotgun sequence.
GUCUCGGUAGUCUAAAGGCUUAGGACGCUCGCACGGAAUGCAAGAGAUCCGGGUUCGACUCCCGGCCGAGGCA